CGGGGUGGAUUUAGGGCAGAGAAGAGAGUGGGUUUGGGGCAGAGAACAGGCUGGUUUUUGGGGCAAGAACCCCGUGGUUUUGGGGGAAAGGACCCGGUGGUUUUGGGGGAAAGAACAACGUGGUUUGAGAGGGAGAAUAGGGUGGUUUGGGGGAAAGAUCCCGGUGGUUUUGGAAGAAAGAUUCCCGUGGUUUGAGAGGGAGAAUAGGGUGGUUUUGGGGGAAAGAUCCCGGUGGUUUUGGGGGAGAGAAGGCCGUGGUUUUGGGGGCACAGCAGGGGGCUUUUGGGCGAAAGAACCCGGUGGUUUUCGGCUGAAAACCCCCAAAUUUUGGCCGCAGCCCAGCUGGGUUUGGUGCGGGUCACACCGGGAGGAGCCUCUGGAAGCCGAGGGGAGCUGGGGAGGGAACGGCCCCAAAUCUCCCGUGGGAAUCCCGGGAAACACCCCAGAGCAGGUGGGGGCCUCUCCUGCAAGAGGGGAAGAAGAGGGACCUGGAAAAGCCGGGGCUGUGGGACUGAGGGAAUUCCAGCUGGGGAGUCACCUCCUGUCACCUGGGGCUGGAAUGCCAGCGCAGGGAAGGAGCUGUCACCUCACCCCGGUGAGGAAUUCCACAUUUUUGUUCUCCUUUCCCACCUGGAUUUUCCCUGUGAGUUUGGACUCUGUGGCUGCCCCAUCUCUGGAAUUGUUCAAGGCCAGCCUGGGAUAGUGGAAAGGACAGGAGGAGCUUCGAGGUCCCUCCCAACCCAAACAAUUCCGUGUUUUUCUGAUUCCAAGCAAAAGAGUUAAAGUUGCCCAAAAUCCUGUUUUAAUGAGCUGCCAUAAUCUCUUGGAGAUCUGGACUUGAGCCUCGUUUCCCAAGAGCUGCUGGAAUUGAACUUGGAGGAGGGAUUGGCCAAAUCCAUCUGUAAACAAAGGGCUUGCUCACCUCAGUGUGACCUCCAAAACUGCACAGCCCCCUUGAACAGUGUUAAAAAUUAGAUCAUUAUGAUUUCUUUUCACCCCAAACCACAAUAACCUCAUCCUUCCCACCUGCCUGGAGCACACCUGGCUUUGGGAUGAAGGUGGGAUCAGGAUGUUCCUCUCCCUGUGCCAAUCCUUUAUCUCCUGGCACCUCCUGCCAGCCCCAAGGGCAGAAAUAGCUCCUUUAUCUCAGCCCAGGCCUGGGAGAGAGCAAAUUCCACCAAAAUGGGAAUCAAUUCAACCCCACAGCUCGGGGUGGUGGAGCUUCUCCUGGUCACAGCACGUCCUGGAAGUGCAGGGUUCUAAUUAAUUAAUUAUUAGCAUUAUAAUGAAGCUCUGGUGUGGAGUUGAGCCUUUCCAAAGCUGGAAGCUGCUCCUGGCUGGGAGCAGGGAUUGCACCAAUCCUGGAGAGCAGGCUGGGGCUGUCCCCACUUAUCUCAGCCACUAAUUACCCUCUGCACUAAUGAGAUUCCUGGAAGUGGGAAAUCUCCUCCUCCAGGGCACGUGUGGCCACGGGAGCUGGCUCUGCCCGGAGCUCCAGGGAAUUCCUGCACUUUUGGGGCAGUUUUGGUACUUUUGAUCAACGUGGUGCCACAGGAGCUGUCUCUGCCCAGAGUUCCAGGGAGAAUUGUGCAUUUUUUGGGCAGUUUUGGUGAAUGAAACUGUCUCUAGCCAGAGUUUCAGGGAAUUCCUGAAGAUUUGGAGCAGUUUGGGUGAAUGGAGCUGUCUCUGCCCAGAGUUCUGGGGAGAAUUGCUGCAGUUUUGGGGCAGUGUUGGUGUUUUUGGUGAAUGGAGCUCUCCCUGCCUGAAGCUCCAAUGAAUUCCUGCAGUUUUGGGGCAGUUUUGGUACUUUUGAUCAACGUGGUGCCACGGGACCUGUCUCUACUCAGAGCUUCCAGGAGAAUUCCUGCAGUUUUGGGGCAGUUCUGGUGAAUGAAACUGUCUCUGCCCAGGGUUCCAGGGAUUUGCUGCAUUUUUGGGGCAGUUUUGGUACUUUUGAUCAACGUGGUGCCACGGGAGCUGUCUCUGCCCAGAGUUCCAGGGAGAAUUGUGCAUUUUUGGGGCAGUUUUAGUGAAUGGAGCUGUCUCUGCCUGAAGCUCCAAGGAAUUCCUGCACUUUUGGGGCAGUUUUGGUAUUUUUGGUGAACGUGGGGCUCUCCCAGCCCUGAUGCCAAGGAAGUCCUGCUGUUCCUCCUGGAAUACCUUCACCAUUGCUCUGUGCCCAUGGAAAGGAGCCCAGGGUGGCUCCAGCUGCUGCCCUCAGCACUUCCAGGGGUUUCUGGAAGCAAAGCAGGGACUGGAGCAGCCUGGGGUAGUGGGAAGUGUCCCUUGCCCAUGGCAGAGGUGAAUUAAAUGAGCUUUAAGGUCCUUCCCACCCGAGGCAGUGUGAGAUUCUGUGAAAUCUCAGGGUGCUUUUGCUGCUGCUGCAGCAAACCCUGCUCAGAGCUCUUGUUUGGCAGGAAAUUGGGUGAAAUCUCUCCACUCUCUUCCUCUUUUUGUUGCUAACCUCGUGUUUGGGGGAACUGGGAGAGCUGAGGCAGGGCAGGGUGGGCACUGCUGAGUUCUGAUCCUCUCCUUGGAGGUCUUUGCUGUGGGAAUCACUUGGAAAACCACCUGGAGAGAGCAGCACUGGGCAGGUGGGAUUUUUGCUGCUUGCUGCCAUUCCAAGGGUGGCUGUGGUGCUGCUGCUCCCUUUGUGUGUGUCUGAGAGAUAACAGAGCUGCUGCACAGCCUGAGCUGAGCACCCAGCAGCACAUUCCCUGCUUGGAAUGUGGCAGCCUGGAGCUGGCAUGGCUGAGGGAGGGAGGGAGGGAGGGAUGAGGUGAAACCUCAGUCGGGAUUUGGAAAAUUCCCACUGAGCGACACAGAGUGGACUCAUUGCUGCCCCUGCAGCUGAUUUUCACCCCCAGCUAAUUGUGUUUGGUUCUCUCCUUCUCCCCAAGUCUCCCCUCUGCUCUGCAGUCCCAUCCAUGCAUCCAGCAGGCUCCGUGGACCCCGGGGUGCUGACGUCGCAGCGGGAGCUGCCCAGAGGUUCAGGUUGCCCUGUGCUCCCCCUGCUUUGUCUGGCUCUUCCCUUCAUCCCUUUGUCUUGUGAGAUCCGUGGCUUCCAGGCCUAAACCCAUCCCUUGUGUCCCGAGGGAUUGGAUGGUGCUGCUGGCAUAAAUCCAGGUUUAAUUCUUCAGCAAAAAAUAAGAAAGGUGUAGCAUUGGGGAAAUCCCUGCCCAGAGGUGGGUAAAUGUGGGAUGGGAAGGGGGAGAAGCUUGGGGUGGAGUAGGUGGUAUGGGGAGGCUGAUUUCUAGUGGAAUUUGGGAAUUAUUUUAUGGGGGAGCUGCUUUAGUCCAGCCUAACUCCUGUUAAUCCAAACCAAAUAUUCCCGAAAAUCUGCGUGACUCAACUCCUCCUCCUCCAGCAGCCUCUUGAGCUGCAGCUGAAUUUCCUUUGCAGGCAGAGCAAUUCCAAGAGGAACUUUUUAAAUAGCUGCUGGAACAGCUGCAUGGGAGGAAGGAGAAUCAGGAUGGCAGUGCCGGUGGAGGGGGAGUGGUGCAGCCUGUGCCUUCAAAAACCCAAAGUGGAGGGGCUGGAGCUGCUCAGCUCAGCUUAGGAAAUCUGGGAUGAGGAGAAAGCUCAGCCUUAGGCCAGGGAGUCUUGCCAGAGGGAUCCAUGUGGCUUGUGUGUUCAUUUGAAUCCUCAGCUGCAGCCACAAUAUCCUGGGAUCUUCCAUUAUUCUGCUUUUCUGCUCUUCCCAAUUCAGAUCUGAGAGCUUUGUGCACAAAGGGAGUGGAAAUGCUCUGAAAUUCACUUUAUCCCCCUGGGAUCUUCACCUCAGCAGGGUAAAACUGGCAGAGGACACAGCUCUGUCCACCCUGAGCCUGCCUGGAGCUGUAACUUCCCACUCAAGCAAGGGGAAAAAAGCAUCAGUGUUCCCAACAGGGAUUUAGUGUGGAAUUAGUUGUAGGAAGAUCCCUUUUAAGCAGAGCUCUGAGUCACACUUGGAUCUGUGGCCCUACAUCUGCCAGAAAUAGGGAUAAUCCUCAGAGCAGCAGCACCUGGGCUCUCUGUGCUGCCCCACCUCUGGAGGUGGGAAAAAAAGAAAGCUCUCCCCAAAAAAUGCCAUGUGAUUCCCAGCUGGAGUAAAGUUUGUUCCUAUAGAAACUGCCAGGAGUUAUGUAAGGAAUGGCAGCUGCAGUGCAAAGGGAGCUCGUGCUCCAAAAUGCAAAGUAGGUCUUGAAACGGAGCAAAAAGUCAGGAAUAGCUCGGGGCUCCUUCAGGUUGGUCCCUGGUUGUGAUUGUUCCCCGUGUCCCAGGAAAUCUGGGACAAAAUUGGAGCUUUUAGGAGGAGCUGUCGUGAACUUGGAGCAGUGAGUGCGAGGCUGGAUUUACCUGGGCCUUAAUAAAUUGGUUUUUCUCUAUUUUUGGCAAUAUGUGGCACUCCUUCCUGCCCCUUUCCCUAGGAGUUUCAAGGGAUGUUUAGCUCAUGAGACUGAAAAUCAGUAUUAUUAUAAUUAAGAUAUUAAUUAAUAGUAUUAUGAUUAUCAUGUUCAACUCUAGAUGCUGAAAAUUCUCAAUCCAUCAAAAACUGACCCAGGACCUUCCUCUGCUCAGAGCUUUUUUAAGGACUUGGUGGCUUCUAAAACAUCCCCAACUCAAAUUAAAUUAAAAGCCAGAGUCUAAAUAGUUUCAACGCCAAGUGGCACAUUAAAAACAUCUUAAAAAGCAGCAAAAUUCUAUUUACAGCAUCAAAAAUCAACUUAGUGAUGGCAGGGCUUCCACCCUGCUGCUCUGUUUACAGGUGCACCUACCACCUAAAUUAUUUGCAUUUCAUGGAAAUUCAGGCCUCCCUGGAAUCUGCAGUUUCUAGGAUUGGCUGAUGUGUGGUUUUGGUCCAAAAAUGAUGCCACAGGAAGUCUGUGGGUUGUGGAAUUGACUGAUUUUUUUGUUUGUUUUUUUAAUAUAUAUUUAUAUUUUUAAGCUGUGUCACCAUCAGUGUUGAUGUCACCCGGUUGUUUUUCAUGGAUUCUGGUGAUAGCACUGCUGGAAAUUGUCCCUGUCACCUUUUCAUUGACUGAAGGAACAACCACCCCUUUCUGCAGCAGCAGGAAAGCCCCACCCUGCUGCUCACAGAAAUUUUCAUUUCCUCCACCUGCACUUCAAAGAACACGAUGGUAGCAGUGAUAAACUGCUCAUUUUUACCCAAAACCACACAAAUCUUGGGCUUCAAGGCCACAGGGCCCUCAAAUGUUAGAUAUUUUUUGCUAAACUGGAAGAUUUUCUGGCAGAAAUCAGAGCAAGCAUCUUUGUUUUUCUUGCAAAAUGUGGUUGAGGCCUGUAAUUACUGUGAGGGGAAGAAAAAAAAGGCAAAAUAAAACUCCCAAACAGCCCUUUCUUCUUUCAAAGGAUGGUAUAAAGCUGAAUUUUUGGGUGAUUAAACUACUUGAUCAGGUGUAGAUUUUUAUCAGACACCUUUUGUGGGUGUUAAAGUGAGGGUCUGGCUUUAGCAUCCCCUGAGAGCUGCACAAAUCCCUCAGUCUGGCCCUAAAUCUGGGAGGGCAGCAGGGAUUAAUCCCAAAUCCGAGGUGGAUCCCUGAUCCCUGCGGCAGGAUCCACGCUCAGCUCAGUUAUUAAUAGUGUUAAUAACUAAAUAACAUCAUUUAGAGGUCUUGGAGCUGACUUAAGUGGGUUUUUAGAGUUGCCUUUGGUUCCCCCAAGCCCUGGAGGUGCAGAACAGCCAUUUCCAGCAAAGAGCAGAGGAAGUUGUUUUGCAAGAGAGGCUUUGUCACAGCUCUGAGCAGCAUGAAUGGCACUAAAUCCUUGAGCAAUUUCUUCCCAGAACAAGGAAACCACAAGGCAGAGGAACCUCUUGGCUCCUGAGUUCUUUCCUCCUUUGACGCUAUUAAUAAAAAAAAAGAGGAUUAUUCAGCUUGGACUCGAGGAAUUUUUCCCCUGGUGAAAAGCUGAGGGUGUGGAUAUCCCCUGGCAGGGAUUCUCCUGCUCCAGGGAGAAUUCCCCACAUCCCUUUUCCACAGACAGCCAUGGAGCAGCUUUGGGACCCAUGCAUGAGGCCACAUUUCCCUGGAAUCUGCUCAUUUCCACUGGGAAUAUUUCAUCAGGCUCUCCAUUGUGAUGCUCCCUCAAUCCUUGCCAUGGUAGCAGCUCUUUUUUUUUUUUUCCCCUGCUCUUCCUUUUCCAAGGAGCUGUGGUUUUGCAGCCAGCUCCUGGUUUAUUUUUAAAUGCUUUCUGCAGAGUUAUUACAGCAAAAAAAGUUGCCUCAGGAGCUUGGGCCAGAAUUUGGUGCCUGAAUAAAGGGUGAGGAGUGAAUCCUGGUUUAUUUUUAAAUGCUUUCUGCAGAGUUAUUACAGCAAAAAAAGUUGCCUCAGGAGCUUGGGCCAGAAUUUGGUGCCUGAGUAAAGGGUGAAGAGUGAAUCCCCUCGGGAUUUCUCAAUUAAAACCAAUUAAAACCACUCCAGGGUGUGAACUUGGAGCAAGUGACUCGUUUGGAGCAGGCUCCUCAGGCUGGGAGUUGAAAAGGGAAUUAGGCUGGGGGUUUUAAAGGGAAUUAGGAUCCUUUUCAGUCAUUCAGAUCAUUCAGCAGCCCUUGGAGCAUUAAUGAGCAGGGCUUAGAUGGCGACUGGAGCUGGCACGAGCAGCUUGGUAUGUGGAGUUUAUUUUGACAGGCUGGGAUGUAAAACAGGCUCUGGAAUUGUCUCCUGGAGCACGAGCUGGGCACUGGAUCCCUGCUGGAUCCUCCUCCCUGGGGAAUGCACUCAGUGUUCAGGGAAAAUGGGAAUGCAGAUUCACUGAGCAAGGGAUGCUUUGGGGUUCCUGGUGCUCCUGCAGCCCCUGCCAGGCUGGGAGUGCAUCCCAAAGGGGUCUGAGCCAACCCAAAUCUUGUGCCAGAGCUCAGUGGGCAGCCAGGCUCUGAAAAAUGUUGGGAUUCGUACUCCAAAUUGAUGUUUCCUUCAAUCCAGGAGGGAUUUGUGCAGGCCUGAGGUGAAGCUCCAUGAACUUGAGCAGAGCAGGGUUGGUGCCAGGUGGCUUUGCUUUCCAUGGAUGUUAAAAUCAUCCUAAAUGCUGAGACAUUUAGCAUCAUAAAAUCAUCAUCAAGCUGAGGCAGAAGUGGUGGCAGCACCAGGCGAGGCUGGCACUGGUGGUCACAGGAGGAAACUCCCAAUUUUCCCUGUGGGAAUGGGGUUUCCAUUUUGGCCUAGUGGCUCUGAGGGCCCUCAGCCUCAGGGGAAUUGAUUUUAGAACAUCAACCAGAGGAUUCAUGCAAGAAACAAUUUUUUUUUCGUGGUUUAAGGAGCUGAAUGUUUCUGUUGGCCUUGUUCUCAACCCUCUGGGAGAUAAAUGCAUAAUUUCCUGAGCCAGGAGGGUGAGGUGCCCCUGUUCUCAAUUAGUGGGUGUCAGGGUGUGCCCACUUUUGUGAGGGGUGAUAAUUCCCCCAGGCAGCUCAGCAGUGCUGAUUAAAGCUGCCCUGUUGCUAUUUAUUGAUAUAAACCCAUUUUUUCUCAGAAAAAUAUUCCCCUAAACUCCAACCCAGGCUUUUUCCCCCUUUUAUCACUGAAGCUGCUGCAGAGUCUGAGCUGGGGUUGGGUUUUGGGGAAGUGAAAAGCAGCAGCACGGGGUGAAAGUCACAUCUGGAAAUGCCACCUGGAGCUUUUUCGAGUCAAGUCACCUUGAAAAGAGCUGUGAAACCCUGGGGAAAUGCCUGCAAAAAGCCCUAAAAAGCAAAAUCAGAGCCACUGGGCACUUGCAGGGAGAUUUUUAGUGGGAGAUGUUCCAGUGUGUUCCCUCCAGAGAGGGAAGUGGGAGGUUGUUUACAUCUGCACCAAACCCUUCCCCCCUCCCACAACCUCAGGGCUUUAUGAGACGUUUUAAAAGAACAUUUUUAGAAGGCAUUUGAAGGUUAAAGUGUUGGUUUAGUUAAGCUGGGUGUCUGGGAAGGGGAUGUUGGAUCCAAGCUGAGCCCACCAGGGUUUGCUGUGGCUGCAGGCUCAGGGAGCAUUUUGGAAAAUCCAGAUUUCCUCCCCGUGUGGCUCUGAGUCCCUCCUGUGACAGAGCAGAGCCCUGAGCUGCUGGGCUCACAAUCUGUGCCCUGGCCCUGCAAAAAACCAACCCCACAUCCCCUAAAUCCUCCAUUCCCUGCA